rnacentral:rRNA from 1 species
AUUGAACGCUGGCGGCAUGCCUUACACAUGCAAGUCGAACGGCUGCACGGGAGCAAUCCUGGUGGCGAGUGGCGAACGGGUGAGUAAUAUAUCGGAACGUGCCCAGUCGUGGGGAUAACGUAGCGAAAGCUACGCUAAUACCGCAUACGAUCUACGGAUGAAAGCGGGGGAUCGCAAGACCUCGCGCGAUUGGAGCGGCCGAUAUCAGAUUAGGUAGUUGGUGAGGUAAAGGGCUCACCAAGCCGACGAUCUGUAGCUGGUCUGAGAGGACGACCAGCCACACUGGGACUGAGACACGGCCCAGACUCCUACGGGAGGCAGCAGUGGGGAAUUUUGGACAAUGGGCGCAAGCCUGAUCCAGCAAUGCCGCGUGCAGGAUGAAGGCCUUC